CAAUCUGAGAGUUUGAUCCUGGCUCAGAGCGAACGCUGGCGGCAGGCUUAACACAUGCAAGUCGAACGGGCACUUCGGUGCUAGUGGCAGACGGGUGAGUAACACGUGGGAACGUACCUUUCGGUUCGGAAUAAUUCAGGGAAACUUGGACUAAUACCGGAUACGCCCUUCGGGGGAAAGAUUUAUCGCCGAUAGAUCGGCCCGCGUCUGAUUAGCUAGUUGGUGAGGUAAAGGCUCACCAAGGCGACGAUCAGUAGCUGGUCUGAGAGGAUGAUCAGCCACAUUGGGACUGAGACACGGCCCAAACUCCUACGGGA
rnacentral:rRNA from 1 species